AGUGAACGCUGGCGGUAGGCCUAACACAUGCAAGUCGAACGGCAGCACAGUAAGAGCUUGCUCUUACGGGUGGCGAGUGGCGGACGGGUGAGGAAUACAUCGGAAUCUACUUUUUCGUGGGGGAUAACGUAGGGAAAAUUACGCUAAUACCGCAUACGACCUACGGGUGAAAGCAGGGGAUCUUCGGACCUUGCGCGAUUGAAUGAGCCGAUGUCGGAUUAGCUAGUUGGCGGGGUAAAGGCCCACCAAGGCGACGAUCCGUAGCUGGUCUGAGAGGAUGAUCAGCCACACUGAAACUGAGCCACGGUCCAGACUCCUACGGGAGGCAGCAGUGGGGAAUAUUGGCCAAUGGGCGCAAGCCUAGUCCAGCCAUACCGCGUGGGUGAAGAAGGCCUUCGGGUUGUAAAGCCCUUUUGUUGGGAAAGAAAAGCAGCAGGUUAAUACCCCGCUGUUCUGACGGUACCCAAAGAAUAAGCACCGGCUAACUUCGUG
rnacentral:rRNA from 1 species